GUCUACAGCCAUGCUACCUUGAACAAGCCCGGUCCCAUCUGAUCUCAGAAGCUAAGCAGGGUUGGGCCUGGUGAGUACUUGGAUGGGAGACCACCUAGGAAGACUAGGUGCUGUAGGCA
rnacentral:rRNA from 1 species